AUCAUUACAAAGACACAACAAAGAACGUUCUUCCUACGUCAACUUUCAGUACUCAAGAAAGAAAAAUCCUGACUCCAUUUUUAUAGAGAAAGCUUGUUUUUUAUGGGCUCGGUGAGCCUCAUCCAGGACUUCACGUGUUACAGUCCAGGUACCACGUAGCUGUUCAAUCCAAUCAGCCAAUGAAGGUAUUUGUGGUUUUUCCUGAGGCAACUCUGGGAUGGGUACAAAGUCUUGACCUGAGACCACCUUGAACGGGGUAAAACCAGUACUGCUGUGUAUAGAGUUAUUAUAGGCGACCUUUGCAAACGGCAACAA